rnacentral:rRNA from 1 species
AACGCGUGAGCAACCUGGCCUUCAGAGUGGAACAACGUCUGGAAACGGGCGCUAAUACCGCAUAACACAAGAGAGUCGCAUGGCUUUUUUGUUCAAAGGAGAAAUCCGCUGAAGGAUGGGCUCGCGUCCGAUUAGCUAGAUGGGGUGGUAACGGCACACCAUGGCGACGAUCGGUAGCCGAACUGAGAGGUUGAUCGGCCGCAUUGGGACUGAGACACGGCCCAGACUCCUACGGGAGGCAGCAUG